CCUCUGUUUUGUUUGUUUGGCCUUCUCGUUUUCAUCCCCAUCGAAAGGAUAGAGGUGGGAGGUGCAGGUGGCAGACAGCUCGCGGCGAUUUCCGGUGAUUUUUGUUCCUCUCCUCACCAGAUCGAGGGAACUGAGGCGAGAGGGAUAGUGAAUCGGCGCCGGGCGUGUGCUCCUUGUGGACGGCGGCAACACAGCGAUACGGCGUUUUAUUGCAAGGAGGUAAUCAACUAUGACAAUGUCCGUGUUAACUUUGACGAGCUUGGGAAAUCAAUGAGUCGAAGCCAUAAAAAAUCUGUGCACAUCCAUGUUAUUAACGCAUUUUGCAGGAAGUUGUUCAAGGAUAGACACCCAAAAGAUUCGCGGAAACAUUAUUUCUUCUCACCUGUUGGCGAUUAUCUUAUGAGCCAUGAAGUCAAUCAAUCUUAUAUGUUUGAGAAAUGUGGGAAAUGCUUCAGACUUGCAAAUGGGAGCUUCAACUUUGCGUUGUCAGAUUAUGUAUGCCUUGCAUACCCUACUGUGCUACUUCAAUUUUUGUUUAAUGCCUCUCUAAGAAAUAUAUUUUCAUCAUUUAUUUUUUGUCAUUGUCACACCAAUUUUUGAAAUGAUGAGUACACCUAUUUCAGGAUGUAACACAUGUGAACUGUCUUUUCCACAUUGAAGGAAGUGAUGUUACCUGCCUCCAAUCAUUUCGUGGAACAUCAUGCUCUUUUGGACCUCUACCCCAAUUGUUUGCAGUGAAAUUUCCCACCUAAAGCACAAAAUUGGAACAACAAUCAGCAGAACCAACAAAGGGGCGGCUGUCACCAUGAGGCAUCAUUAUUCACUUUUUUAAUUAAUUGAGUUCGAGAAAGUGCCCGUGAGGUCAUAAGUCAUCAGCUGGAAGGAGGAACACAAAGAGGAUAACAUGGGGUGGGUGGGGGAGAGAGGAACUGACAUUGCCCGCCGAUGCAUAAUGCUCAUAUUUUUGUUGAUCUCCCCAAUAGAUCUCCAUCCGCUGCUUUCUCUUGCUUUUGGGAAGGUUUACCUCCAUGGCUUCACGAGGCUUACAUAGCAGAUUUGUUUUUCCUUUUGUGUGUCUGGGGCUGGAGGCAGAGCUGUGAUAGAUCACGUUUUUUGGCGGCUACCA